rnacentral:rRNA from 1 species
AAUCUGCCCUGCACUCUGGGACAAGCCCUGGAAACGGGGUCUAAUACCGGAUAUGACACGGGAUCGCAUGGUCUCCGUGUGGAAAGCUCCGGCGGUGCAGGAUGAGCCCGCGGCCUAUCAGCUUGUUGGUGGGGUGAUGGCCUACCAAGGCGACGACGGGUAGCCGGCCUGAGAGGGCGACCGGCCACACUGGGACUGAGACACGGCCCAGACUCCUACGGGAGGCAGCAGUGGGGAAUAUUGCACAAUGGGCGCAAGCCUGAUGCAGCGACGCCGCGUGAGGGAUGACGGCCUUCGGGUUGUAAACCUCUUUCAGCAGGGAAGAAGCGCGAGUGACGGUACCUGCAGAAGAAGCACCGGCUAACUACGUGCCAGCAGCCGCGGUAAUACGUAGGGUGCGAGCGUUGUCCGGAAUUAUUGGGCGUAAAGAGCUCGUAGGCGGCUUGUCGCGUCGGAUGUGAAAGCCCGGGGCUUAACCCCGGGUCUGCAUUCGAUACGGGCAGGCUAGAGUUCGGCAGGGGAGAUUGGAAUUCCUGGUGUAGCGGUGAAAUGCGCAGAUAUCAGGA